UACGGAGGGUGCGAGCGUUGUCCGGAAUCACUGGGCGUAAAGGGCGCGUAGGCGGUCUGCUAAGCGUGUGGUGAAAGCUCGGGGCUCAACCCCGCGUCGGCCAUGCGAACUGGUGGACUGGAGCACUGUAGAGGCAGGUGGAAUUCCGGGUGUAGCGGUGGAAUGCGUAGAGAUCCGGAAGAACACCGGUGGCGAAGGCGGCCUGCUGGGCAGUAGCUGACGCUGAGGCGCGACAGCGUGGGGAGCAAACAGGAUUAGAUACCCUGGUAGUCCACGCCGUAAACGAUGGGGACUAGGUGCUUGGGGGAGCGACCCCCCGAGUGCCGGCGCUAACGCAUUAAGUCCCCCGCCUGGGGAGUACGGCCGCAAGGCUGAA
rnacentral:rRNA from 1 species